ACGUACAAGCAGUGGGAGCACCCUUCGGGGUGUGACUGCGUACCUUUUGUAUAAUGGGUCAGCGACUUAUAUUCUGUAGCAAGGUUAACCGAAUAGGGGAGCCGGAGGGAAACCGAGUCUUAAUUGGGCGUUAAGUUGCAGGGUAUAGACCCGAAACCCGGUGAUCUAGCCAUGGGCAGGUUGAAGGUUGGGUAACACUAACUGGAGGACCGAACCGACUAAUGUUGAAAAAUUAGCGGAUGACCUGUGGCUGGGGGUGAAAGGCCAAUCAAACCGGGAGAUAGCUGGUUCUCCCCGAAAGCUAUUUAGGUAGCGCCUCGUGAAUUCAUCUCCGGGGGUAGAGCACUGUUUCGGCUAGGGGGCCAUCCCGGCUUACCAACCCGAUGCAAACUGCGAAUACCGGAGAAUGUUAUCACGGGAGACACACGGCGGGUGCUAACGUCCGUCGUGAAGAGGGAAACAACCCAGACCGCCAGCUAAGGUCCCAAAGUCAUGGUUAAGUGGGAAACGAUGUGGGAAGGCCCAGACAGCCAGGAUGUUGGCUUAGAAGCAGCCAUCAUUUAAAGAAAGCGUAAUAGCUCACUGGUCGAGUCGGCCUGCGCGGAAGAUGUAACGGGGCUAAACCAUGCACCGAAGCUGCGGCAGCGAACGUAUCACCCAAGACAACUUUACGGAGUUGACGAUUGACGGAGCGAAGCGACGUCAAAGCGUUCAUUAAAGUCGAGUUGGCUUAGGGAUACGUUCGUUGGGUAGGGGAGCGUUCUGUAAGCCGUUGAAGGUGGCCUGUGAGGGUUGCUGGAGGUAUCAGAAGUGCGAAUGCUGACAUAAGUAACGAUAAAGCGGGUGAAAAGCCCGCUCGCCGGAAGACCAAGGGUUCCUGUCCAACGUUAAUCGGGGCAGGGUGAGUCGACCCCUAAGGCGAGGCCGAAAGGCGUAGUCGAUGGGAAACGGGUUAAUAUUCCCGUACUUGGUGUUACUGCGAAGGGGGGACGGAGAAGGCUAUGUUGGCCGGGCGACGGUUGUCCCGGUUUAAGCGUGUAGGUGUGUGUUCCAGGUAAAUCCGGUUCACUUUAACACUGAGGCGUGACGACGAGGCACUACGGUGCUGAAGCAACAAAUGCCCUGCUUCCAGGAAAAGCCUCUAAGCAUCAGGUAACAUCAAAUCGUACCCCAAACCGACACAGGUGGUCAGGUAGAGAAUACCAAGGCGCUUGAGAGAACUCGGGUGAAGGAACUAGGCAAAAUGGUGCCGUAACUUCGGGAGAAGGCACGCUGACACGUAGGUGAAGUGAUUUACUCAUGGAGCUGAAGUCAGUCGAAGAUACCAGCUGGCUGCAACUGUUUAUUAAAAACACAGCACUGUGCAAACACGAAAGUGGACGUAUACGGUGUGACGCCUGCCCGGUGCCGGAAGGUUAAUUGAUGGGGUCAGCGCAAGCGAAGCUCCUGAUCGAAGCCCCGGUAAACGGCGGCCGUAACUAUAACGGUCCUAAGGUAGCGAAAUUCCUUGUCGGGUAAGUUCCGACCUGCACGAAUGGCGUAAUGAUGGCCAGGCUGUCUCCACCCGAGACUCAGUGAAAUUGAACUCGCUGUGAAGAUGCAGUGUACCCGCGGCAAGACGGAAAGACCCCGUGAACCUUUACUAUAGCUUGACACUGAACAUUGAGCCUUGAUGUGUAGGAUAGGUG
rnacentral:rRNA from 1 species